rnacentral:rRNA from 1 species
GAAACUCAAAGGAAUUGACGGGGACCCGAACAAGUAGCGGAGCAUGUGGUUUAAUUCGAAGCAACGCGAAGAACCUUACCUAAGCUUGACAUCCCAAUGACAUCUCCUUAAGCGGAGAGUUCCCUUCGGGGACAUGGGUGACAGGUGGUGCAUGGUUGUCGUCAGCUCGUGUCGUGAGAUGUUGGGUUAAGUCCCGCAACGAGCGCAACCCUUGUCUUUAGUUGCCAUCAUUAAGUUGGGCACUCUAGAGAGACUGCCAGGGA